CACACAGCUGCCAGGGUGUGUUUCAAGUUUCUGGAUCAAGACGUCCAGCGAGGCAGGGUGGAGAAUAUGCACGGACACCAAGAGGGCACGAUGGAGAGCUGGACCAGAGCUUGAAGCAGGAAGGGAAAACCUGCAGACAAUAUGGCUCUGCCAGGGAGAGUGGAUCACGUGAUCAGAGAAGCCGCCCCAAGCAUGGAGCUGCAGAAAGAAGUCUCUGGCUCCCCUGAAGCCGAGCGCCUUUCCUACAGCCCAAGUCUGUCAGGCUGCUCUAUAUCUUGAUGAUUGGCUCCCUUUUCCAAGUAAAAGUCUGUUCCUAGCAACCAGACAAUUCCUGAUGAAAACCUCAGUGUUAUGAUUAUGUCCUGUUAAUAAAUGUUACAGGGUAUGAAUCCAUAAA